rfam:Brassica napus, WGS project CCCW01000000 data, contig: 2125
GGUUCUAUGGUGUAGUGGUUAGCACUCUGGACUUUGAAUCCAGCGACAUUUUAACGAAAUCAUAAGCUAUUUUUUUGUCUCCGAAAAAAUUUAAAUCA